rnacentral:rRNA from 1 species
CUAUGCUGUAAACGGUGGGCGCUAGGUGUGGGGACCUUCCACGGUUUCUGUGCCGUAGCUAACGCUUUAAGCGCCCCGCCUGGGGAGUACGGCCGCAAGGCUAAAACUCAAAGGAAUUGACGGGGACCCGCACAAGCAGCGGAGCAUGUGGUUUAAUUCGAAGCAACGCGAAGAACCUUACCAGGACUUGACAUCCCUCUGACAGCUCUUUAACAGGAGCCUUCUUCGGACAGAGGAGACAGGUGGUGCAUGGUUGU